rnacentral:rRNA from 1 species
UACGUAGGGUCCGAGCGUUGUCCGGAAUUACUGGGCGUAAAGAGCUCGUAGGUGGUUUGUCGCGUUGUUCGUGAAAACUCACAGCUUAACUGUGGGCGUGCGGGCGAUACGGGCAGACUUGAGUACUGCAGGGGAGACUGGAAUUCCUGGUGUAGCGGUGGAAUGCGCAGAUAUCAGGAGGAACACCGGUGGCGAAGGCGGGUCUCUGGGCAGCAACUGACGCUGAGGAGCGAAAGCGUGGGGAGCGAACAGG